GGCUAAUCUAUUUUGAGUCAUUUUGAUAGGACCUCUGAUGAUCUCGAUCAUGAUUGCCUUAUCUGGAGGGUACAAAAAUUUUCUCUCUAUUUUUUUUCUCUAUUUUUUCUCUCUAAAUUUUUUUUCUUCAUAGAUUUUCUCUUUUUAAAAGUUUUAUGGAUCAAUGGAGGGUCUAGAUACUCAGACAAAUCUUAAUUUUGGUUAAUCCUAGGAGAGGUCCUAGAUUUGUGUUAUUAGAAUCGAUUAUC
rnacentral:lncRNA from 1 species